rnacentral:rRNA from 1 species
UACGUAGGGGGCUAGCGUUGUCCGGAAUCAUUGGGCGUAAAGAGCGUGUAGGCGGCCCGGUAAGUCCGCUGUGAAAGUCGGGGGCUCAACCCUCGAAUGCCGGUGGAUACUGUCGGGCUAGAGUGCGGAAGAGGCGAGUGGAAUUCCUGGUGUAGCGGUGAAAUGCGCAGAUAUCAGGAGGAACACCGGUGGCGAAGGCGGGUCUCUGGGCCGA